UACGUAGGGUGCAAGCGUUAUCCGGAAUUAUUGGGCGUAAAGAGCUCGUAGGCGGUUUGUCGCGUCUGCUGUGAAAACUGGAGGCUCAACCUCCAGCCUGCAGUGGGUACGGGCAGACUAGAGUGCGGUAGGGGAGAUUGGAAUUCCUGGUGUAGCGGUGGAAUGCGCAGAUAUCAGGAGGAACACCGAUGGCGAAGGCAGAUCUCUGGGCCGUAACUGACGCUGAGGAGCGAAAGCAUGGGGAGCGAACAGGAUUAGAUACCCUGGUAGUCCAUGCCGUAAACGUUGGGAACUAGAUGUAGGGACCAUUCCACGGUUUCUGUGUCGCAGCUAACGCAUUAAGUUCCCCGCCUGGGGAGUACGGCCGCAAGGCUAAA
rnacentral:rRNA from 1 species